AGUGAACGCUGGCGGUAGGCCUAACACAUGCAAGUCGAACGGCAGCACAGUAAGAGCUUGCUCUUACGGGUGGCGAGUGGCGGACGGGUGAGGAAUACAUCGGAAUCUACUUUUUCGUGGGGGAUAACGUAGGGAAACUUACGCUAAUACCGCAUACGACCUACGGGUGAAAGCAGGGGAUCUUCGGACCUUGCGCGAUUGAAUGAGCCGAUGUCGGAUUAGCUAGUUGGCGGGGUAAAGGCCCACCAAGGCGACGAUCCGUAGCUGGUCUGAGAGGAUGAUCAGCCACACUGGAACUGAGACACGGUCCAGACGCCUACGGGAGGCAGCAGUGGGGAAUAUUGGACAAUGGGCGCAAGCCGGAUCCAGCCAUACCGCGUGGGUGAAGAAGGCCUUCGGGUUGUAAAGCCCUUUUGUUGGGAAAGAAAAGCAGCAGGUUAAUACCCCGCUGUUCUGACGGUACCCAAAGAAUAAGCACCGGCUAACUUCGUG
rnacentral:rRNA from 1 species